AUUACUCCGCCUUCUUCUUUGUCUUCCUGUUCCGGCCGCAGCAUCUACGCAGGCAAUACUUGCACGCCUUAACGAAGAGGAACGUUGAAAGCAGGACCACUGCAAGCAGGAACCCGGCCACAUCCAGGCAGUGGUACUGGUACCAGGUGUACAUUUUCAAGAUAAGUCCAACCUUUUGGGGGAUCUGAGCAAGACCCGAGGCAAUCAUGUUGGCUUUCUCAUGGCUGACGUUCUUGACCAUGGAUCCCAGAGUGAAGACCACAACGCCGUCAUCGCCCGAGCUCUGCACAAACUCUUCCAUGUCCUGAAUAGAAGAAGGGCACCAAACAGCUGAACCUCAAAGGCAACCGAGGUGACACUUUCUGGAGUCUGAUGACUGACGCCAAAAUGAUCCUUACCUUGAUGUUAACGUUGUCAUGAGCAGGAGAACAGAGGGAAGAGCCAGCUUUGGACACGCACGCAGAAAAGGCGGACACGUCGGACAACCCACCAUCACAAACACCAUUACGCCGUUCAACAUGGCCGCGAGCCACAUUUGAAUCCGACCUGAUUGGCCCACAAAAGGAAGCUAGGGUUGACGCUGGGAAAUGGUGCCGGAUCGGGAAUGGCCUCCUCAGGUUGAGGAGGAAGUGGAGAAGGAGGAGGAAGUGUAUGGACUGGACCUGACUGGGCCGGCCGAGCUUCAUACAGGGAGGUGGCGUUGCUAAACAGCUGACAUUAAGAAAAUAAUAUGAGGCAUACCUUCAGGACCUUGUGCGGCACCUCUGGCAACAUCUCCGCCAGCUGCGUCAGGGUGGCGCCGAAUAGCCACGGCAACGAGGGCGCCCUCCUGACCAUGAGUUGAGCCACCAGGGGGUUGAUGCAGGGGAAGUGCGACAGGCAAAGCUCCUCCUGACCAACGUGGGGGAAUGUAAACGUGUG